rnacentral:tRNA from 1 species
GGGUGAGUAGUCGUCUAACGGCCAUCUCUGCCCUUCCCGAAUACAGAACUGAGCCGCUACCUUGCCAAGGUAAGGGUCGCGAGUUCGAGCCUCGUCUCCCGCU